rnacentral:rRNA from 1 species
GUGGAGCUUGCUCCAUGAUUCAGCGGCGGACGGGUGAGUAAUGCCUAGGAAUCUGCCUGGUAGUGGGGGACAACGUUUCGAAAGGAACGCUAAUACCGCAUACGUCCUACGGGAGAAAGCAGGGGACCUUCGGGCCUUGCGCUAUCAGAUGAGCCUAGGUCGGAUUAGCUAGUUGGUGGGGUAAAGGCCUACCAAGGCGACGAUCCGUAACUGGUCUGAGAGGAUGAUCAGUCACACUGGAACUGAGACACGGUCCAGACUCCUACGGGAGGCAGCAGUGGGGAAUAUUGGACAAUGGGCGAAAGCCUGAUCCAGCCAUGCCGCGUGUGUGAAGAAGGUCUUCGGAUUGUAAAGCACUUUAAGUUGGGAGGAAGGGCAGUAAGUUAAUACCUUGCUGUUUUGA